GCCUGGCCAGCCUGGCCUCUGCAGCUUUCCCUCCCACAGUUUUUCCCCGCCCCGAGAAGGCAAACUUCUCGGAAUUCUGGCAGAGUCCGGCUGCCUGCUGAAGGAAUGGGGAGAGCCAAUGCUCGGGAAGGAUGUUUGACCAGGCCAAACAAACUAACGACUGGAUGGAGACCUUUCUGAAAAUCUCAACGCUGGUGCUUCUCAUCUCUCUAAUAUGGUUGCCUAGGAGACACUGCCAGGGUCCACAGUUCCACAUCCUUAUCUUCUCUCCUGGAUGAAGGAGGGGGGAGUGUUGGCUGUGAUGCUGAUUGGUGGAUGAGUCACUGCAGUGGAGGCUGCUGCAGGCUGCAUGCUCUCCAGGGUGGGGGCAAAGAGGACCUUGGGCCAGGAAAACAGAGGAUGGAUGGGUGAGACAGUGCCUCUCUGCCCCAGAUGCUUUGAAGCUGGUGAGUGAGAUGUUGGAGGAGAUUGGAGGUUGGGCUCUGUGAAUCCAUCUCCUCCUUCUUUCCCCUUCC
rnacentral:lncRNA from 1 species